rnacentral:rRNA from 1 species
UACGAAGGGGGCUAGCGUUGCUCGGAAUCACUGGGCGUAAAGGGCGCGUAGGCGGAUGGCUUUGUCGGGCGUGAAAUUCCAGGGCUUAACCUUGGGGCUGCGUUCGAGACGGGUUGUCUAGAGUUUGGAAGAGGGUCGUGGAAUUCCCAGUGUAGAGGUGAAAUUCGUAGAUAUUGGGAAGAACACCGGUGGCGAAGGCGGCGACCUGGUCCUUGACUGACGCUGAGGCACGAAGGCCAGGGGAGCAAACGGG